GUUGGGGCAGCUUCUAACGCAUGCGUGGAGCGCCCUUUACCACUCGCCUUUCCUCUCGGCUUUGCACGUCGGUUGCUGAGGCCUUGGGUUGGCGGAGACUAUGUAUUUCAGCAUGGGAAUUGACAUUCCAGUUCUAGAUCUGCAGCCAGAGAAACUUAAAAGAUACAUCCUAUUCUUUGAGACCUGUGAUACUGCAUAAUACCUAACAAGGCAAGUCCAUUUUCAAGGCACUUACCAGAAAGAAACACAGAGAGAGAGAAACUGAUAAAGUAAUUGUACUUUACUGCAAUUUGUUCUGGCUGAUUUGCUCAUCUCGGAGUCGGUGAAAAUUCUACCAGUAAAAGGAUCUUUUCUAAGAGUGCUGGCUCUUCACCUUUUCUCCUUAAUCCUGCUUUCUGCUACUGCCAGCUCUUCCAUCUGGAGAAUUGGAUCAAGUGAUAUGGGGAUGCUUCAAAAUAUUUGGAGAUAAUAAUAAGCAGAAGAAAAUGACUUCCUGUCCUACAGAGAGCUUCUAGAGUGGCAUAGUUGACUCUAGAAAGACGUAAGCAGCCCUUGCCCAGAUGCUAAAUUCAGUACCAUAAACAAACAAAAGAACUCCAUCAAACACUACCUUCAAGAAAAUCAAAGAACUCACAAUCGAUUUGGCGAUUCAUUUUCAAUUUUAAAAAUGCCUUUAAAGACACUCAGCUAAUUUCUCGCAUGUACUCUCAGAGUAACCUUUCCAAAUAUUUUGUGUUAUUAAACAUCUAGAAAUACAUGCUAUAGCUACCUGUAUUGCACAAACAGGUACUAAAAGAUACGCCGAUUUUGCCUGUCUGCGCAAUUAAAAUAAGUCACUGUCUGUAAUGUCAGUAAACACUAUCAUUCAUCCUCAUGUUGUCUCGUCCACAAUGGGUAGUCAGUAGCAGAUGGUCAAAAGGAAAGGACUCAGCCCAGUGUAUAAAGCAUAUCUUGAAUGAAUUUGAUACAAAUGAAAACUGCAGAUAAAAUCCAUGUUCCACUUGAAAAAUAUUACAUCCAGACUCUUGAACCCUCUACUUAUUUUUGGAACCUGAAUUCUCUAGUCUCCCACUCUACUCUGAGUUGCCAGAGUCAGGCAGGCAUAUUGGGGGAAACAGAAGAAGGAAGUGGGGACUAUGGCAAGAGAAAGGUUUUCAUGAAUGUGGGUUCUCAGGCUGAGCAGCUAGUUGCUCAGUACUUAUUACAGAGCAGCAGGGAAGACACAGACUGGAUACAUCCCCUUGUGUGUGUGGUU